UACGGAGGGUGCAAGCGUUAUCCGGAUUCACUGGGUUUAAAGGGUGCGUAGGUGGGUUGAUAAGUCAGUGGUGAAAUCCCCGAGCUUAACUUGGGAACUGCCAUUGAUACUGAUGAUCUUGAGUAUGAUUGAGGUGGGCGGAAUGUGUCAUGUAGCGGUGAAAUGCUUAGAGAUGUGGAGGAAUACCGAUGGCGAAGGCAGCCUCCUGGGCCAACACUGACGCUCAUGCACGAAAGCGUGGGGAGCAAACAGG
rnacentral:rRNA from 1 species